GGUAGGAUGGCUGAGAACUAGGCGGUGGAUUGUAGCCCCACGAACAGAGGUUAAAUUCCUCUUUCUACCA
rnacentral:tRNA from 1 species